GACGAACGCUGGCGGCGUGCUUAACACAUGCAAGUCGAACGGAAAGGCCCUGCUUUUGUGGGGUGCUCGAGUGGCGAACGGGUGAGUAACACGUGAGUAACCUGCCCUUGACUUUGGGAUAACUUCAGGAAACUGGGGCUAAUACCGGAUAGGAGCUCCUGCUGCGUGGUGGGGGUUGGAAAGUUUCGGCGGUUGGGGAUGGACUCGCGGCUUAUCAGCUUGUUGGUGGGGUAGUGGCUUACCAAGGCUUUGACGGGUAGCCGGCCUGAGAGGGUGACCGGCCACACUGGGACUGAGAUACGGCCCAGACUCCUACGGGAGGCAGCAGUGGGGAAUAUUGCACAAUGGGCGGAAGCCUGAUGCAGCAACGCCGCGUGCGGGAUGACGGCCUUCGGGUUGUAAACCGCUUUCGCCUGUGACGAAGCGUGAGUGACGGUAAUGGGUAAAGAAGCACCGGCUAACUACGUG
rnacentral:rRNA from 1 species